rnacentral:tRNA from 1 species
GGAGGGUAUAGCUCAGUGGUAGAGUGUGUGCUUAGCAUGCACGAGGUCCUGGGUUCAAUUCCCAGUACUUCCA